AUAUAUUUUUCUCAUAUGAAUUCAUAAGGGUGCCAAUUAUUGUGGCAUGCAUAUAUUUAACAAAGACUUUUUUAUAUAUAUAUACCUAUAUAAUAUUUCAUUGAAAUUGUGGAGCUGAAAUUCACGAAUUCUUUACUAUCCGAGAUGCUCUGUAGAAUUUCGGCCCGUUUUGUUGCAGUCUGAGCGAGAACAGGAUUGUAGCCCGGCAAGGUUACGGAAUAUGUGUCAGGUUAAAUGUUAACUCGGUUUAUCUAUAGGACUGAAGGGAGGGUGGGAAAGAGCCGAGGGGAGGGGAGGGAACGCAACACCCUCGGCCACUUUGGGAAAGAAUGCAGCUUGUUGGGGCGUGUUUCAAAUGGCUGCUGGGAAACUGUGGAAUGUGAGGAAUGGAUGAUGGUGUGUGUGUGUGUGUGUGUGUAAAAGAAGCUGUGGGUAGGACACUAUACCAAACACACAGAUAAUGGUGAUACUGAUAAGCGUACUGAUAGAUUAUUACAGCCAUUUAAUGUCAUGAAUCGUGUGAAAGCGCUACGUUUCAGAAAAUAAUCUCAUUCUUCUCAUAAUCUCUCAUUUCGGCAAAACUGACAAAGGUCGCUGUUUUCAUCUUAUACAUCCUGGCACUCUUACCUACUUUUUUGGGAAGUGUGUUUGUUUGUUUAUUUAUUUUUACAGCCUCUUACUUUUAAAAUAUCCCGUUAUGCCUAAAUAUCUGGUGUGUGUGUGUGUGUGUGUGUGUGUGUGUGUGUGUGUGUGUUCAUUUACAAGUAGAUUUUUUAUUUUUAUUCUAUUCUAUUUAUUUAUUUAUUUAUUUACAUUUCCUAGAUUUAAAAGACCCAGAGAUACAUUUCUAGGCUCAGCGUCAUCCUCUUGCCUUUUUAAUCUUGCAGCAGAAUUGCAUCCCCAAAAUUUUUUUUUGCUUCCACAGGUAAAUAACAUACGUUACACUUUUAUUUUUAAAAAAUAAAUAAAUAAAUAAAUCUUGUACAUUACAUACACGAGGUUUUAAAAGUAAAAAAAAGAAUUUUAAGUGUGCGAGAAAACAAAAAAUACUGGAAAUAUCUACAUGUUUUUCAUUAAUUAUGUAGCAUGAUCAUGUCAUACCGUAAUAAAUGUAAUAAUAAUACAUUUUUUUUUUUAAAAAGUAAAUACUAAAUUAGUGCUGCAGGUUUAUGUAAAUGAAUUUAAAAAAUUUCGCUCUGGUUUGAUCUCCAACUCAGGUGAAUGGGUUUCUGUAAACACAAUUCAAAGCUGAGACUAAAAGUAAAAAAUUCAUCUGAAUGAGACACGACUGCUCGGUAAAUUAAUCAACAGCUCAUAGAUAAAACAGAAGGAUUUAAAACAAUCAUGGAAGAGGUAGCAGAAUACAAGCAACUUUGUAGUGGACAGAUUUGAUGGAGAAAGUGUGUGAUUUCAGCUGCAACUUCAGUCAAUUCCACUGCAUGGUAGUAAUAUCAGAUAUAUUCAUUAAUGUCUAUUGACUUAUUCGAUUUGGUCUGUCUAUAGAUUUCUCAUGUCUAAUAUUUUAAACUUGAUUGGACUAAAUUACUAAAAACACUCGGCUCAGUUUAUUUAUAUAGCGCGUUUAAAAACAACAGAGUUGACCAAAGUGCUUCGGAACCGGGAAAUCGAAACACGGUAGAAUGACACGGUAGAACGCCCCAUCACCCUGUGACUUAUGCUCAGACCGAGG
ensembl:lncRNA